rnacentral:lncRNA from 1 species
UGGUGGACCUUUUCGACCAUCGAAGAAGCUGAGAGAAGGAUCUCGUCCAUGGGUGCCAAGGAGUACACAACCGCCAUCACUGCCCCAAUCACCGUCGAGACUUCCCUUACCAAUGCCUCCAGUUGAAACUGUCACAACUGUCACAAUCGUAGGAGUCGUAGCCGCUCCUGCUGAUGAUGUAGGUGUCAUCAUCAAGCCCCUGACUGGGCCAGCCACCAUGGUCCAAGCUUUGUCGGCCCAGGCCGGAACUGAUGGAGGCCGGGCACC